UGAACGCUGGCGGCAGGCUUAACACAUGCAAGUCGAGCGGGGGAAGGUAGCUUGCUACUGGACCUAGCGGCGGACGGGUGAGUAAUGCUUAGGAAUCUGCCUAUUAGUGGGGGACAACAUCUCGAAAGGGAUGCUAAUACCGCAUACGUCCUACGGGAGAAAGCAGGGGAUCUUCGGACCUUGCGCUAAUAGAUGAGCCUAAGUCGGAUUAGCUAGUUGGUGGGGUAAAGGCUACCAAGGCGACGAUCUGUAGCGGGUCUGAGAGGAUGAUCCGCCACACUGGGACUGAGACACGGCCCARACUCCUACGGGAGGCAAGCAGUGGGGAAUWUUGGGCAAUUGGGGGGGAACCCUGAUCAWCAUCCCCCUUUUUUAAAAAAGGCCUUWUGGUUUUAAAGMCCUUUAGGGGAGGGGGGGGGYCCCCUAGUUAAACCCAAGGGAAAGGGCC
rnacentral:rRNA from 1 species